rnacentral:misc_RNA from 1 species
UCCGAGUUGACCCUGGCAGUCUCCUACGAGUCCCCGCCAUGACGCGCUGGCAACAUAGAACGAGGGUUGCGCUCGUUGCGGGACUUAACCCAACAUCUCACGACACGAGCUGACGACAACCAUGCACCACCUGUACACCGCCCUUGCGGACCCCGUAUCUCUACGAGUUUUCGGUGUAUGUCAAGCCUUGGUAAGGUUCUUCGCGUUGCGUCGAAUUAAGCCACAUGCUCCGCUGCUUGUGCGGGCCCCCGUCAAUUCUUUUGAGUUUUAGCCUUGCGGCCGUACUCCCCAGGCGGGACACUUAACGCGUUAACUUCGGCACAGAGGGAUUCGACUCCCCCCACACCCAGUGUCCAUCGUUUACGGCGUGGACUAC